AUUGAACGCUGGCGGCAGGCCUAACACAUGCAAGUCGAGCGGAUGAAGGGAGCUUGCUCCUGGAUUCAGCGGCGGACGGGUGAGUAAUGCCUAGGAAUCUGCCUGGUAGUGGGGGAUAACGUCCGGAAACGGGCGCUAAUACCGCAUACGUCCUGAGGGAGAAAGUGGGGGAUCUUCGGACCUCACGCUAUCAGAUGAGCCUAGGUCGGAUUAGCUAGUUGGUGGGGUAAAGGCCUACCAAGGCGACGAUCCGUAACUGGUCUGAGAGGAUGAUCAGCCACACUGGGACUGAGACACGGCCCAGACUCCUACGGGAGGCAGCAGUGGGGAAUUUUGGACAAUGGGCGAAAGCCUGAUCCAGCAAUGCCGCGUGUGUGAAGAAGGCCUUCGGUUUGUAAAGCACUUUUGGUGGGAAGGAAGAGGAGUAGGUCAAUACCUCGGUUUUAUGACGGUACCAGCAGAAUAAGCACCGGCUAACUACGUG
rnacentral:rRNA from 1 species